rnacentral:rRNA from 1 species
CCUACGGGAGGCAGCAGUGGGGGAUAUUGCACAAUGGGGGAAACCCUGAUGCAGCGACGCCGCGUGUAGGAAGACGGUCCUCUGCAUUGUAAACCACUGUCCCCAGGGACGAAAAUGACGGUACAUGGGGAGGAAGCUCCGACUAACUACGUGCGAGCAGCCUCGGUAAUACGUAGGAGGCGAGCGUUGUCCGGAAUUACUGGGUGUAAAGGGAGCGUAGGCGGGGAUGCAAGUUGGGUGUAAAAACUACCGGCUCAACUGGUAGUCGCACUCAAAACUGCAGCUCUUGAGUGAAGUAGAGGCAGGCGGAAUGCGUAGUGUAGCGGUGAAAUGCGUAGAUAUUAGGAGGAACACCAGUGGCGAAGGCGGCCUGCUGGGCUUUUACUGACGCUGAGGCUCGAAAGUGUGGGGAGCAAACAGGAUUAGAUACCCGAGUAGUC